AGUGAACGCUGGCGGUAGGCCUAACACAUGCAAGUCGAACGGCAGCACAGUAAGAGCUUGCUCUUACGGGUGGCGAGUGGCGGACGGGUGAGGAAUACAUCGGAAUCUACUUUUUCGUGGGGGAUAACGUAGGGAAACUUACGCUAAUACCGCAUACGACCUACGGGUUAAAGCAGGGGUUCUUCGGACCUUUCGCGAUUGAAUGAGCCGAUGUCGGAUUACCUAGUUGGCUGGGUAAAGGCCCACCAAGGCGACGAUCCGUAGCUGGUCUGAGAGGAUGAUCGGCCACACUGGAACUGAGACACGGUCCAGACUCCUACGGGAGGCAGCAGUGGGGAAUAUUGGACAAUGGGCGCAAGCCUGAUGUAGCAAUACCGCGUGAGUGAAGAAGGCCUUCGGGUUGUAAAGCCCUUUUGUUAGGAAAGAAAAGCAGCAGGUUAAUACCCCGCUGUUCUGACGGUACCCAAAGAAUAAGCACCGGCUAACUUCGUG
rnacentral:rRNA from 1 species